rnacentral:lncRNA from 1 species
GUCAUUUCCGGCGAGGCGCGAAAUUAGAUGUUGGGCCCGCCCUCUUGGGUAGAUGGUGUUGCGGUCGUAGACUGUGCCCAGAGUUAUUCUAGCGGCAGCAUCUCCUUUGCCUCCGACUCUUUCUAAGGCUGCAGGCCUGAAAAACCCUGUCGCUCCUUCCGGAGGACACCGAGCGAGCGCCCUAAGGAGAGACUAAAGCCCUCUCUUCAAUCCCGUGCUGUCUUCUGCAGAGCGGGAAGCCGUGGCUCCUCCAUUCCUUUCUGGCUUCAGGCGUCGGUUUCCCCAAAUUGGUGGUAUUCCCAGGAAAUAAAGAGAAACUGCCAACGCUAGGCGCGGGAUGCUGCGCGAGAAACGAAAAAAUGAGUCGGUCUCUCAGGAGCUUCGGCCCAGGUAUGAAUAUGCAGCACCGCAUUAUACCCUGGGCAGAUGAUGGACUUGUGCUCUAUAAUCACUAUCUGUCAAAAUAAAAACAAAAGAAAAGCCUCAGAACUAUCUUCAAUGCUCUAAAGUAUACUGUAGCUGUCUUCAGACAAUCCAGAAGAGCUCGUUACAGAUGACUGUGAGCCAUCAUGUGGUUGCUGAGGUUUGAACUCAGGACGACCUUCAGGAGCAGCCGGUGCUCUUAACCGCUGAAUCAUCUCUCCAGCCCCUACCUGGUAAAUUUUUACAGCAUCUUGGAACUGUGAGAUACUAUAGUUGUAAUGUACAAAUGAGUCCCUCUGAUACAGGUCAUGUGGCAUGUCACAAAUACUCAGGACAAAGGCACUGAAAUUAAGUUUUAACAACCAUGAAGAUGAUCUUUACCUGAGCAUCAAAUGUGCGUCCAGAAUGACAAAGAUUAUUAAGAUCACAAAGGAUGAAUCCUGGAAGAAUCUCUUCCUCUUCAAUUCCUUUCAGUCUGAUUUUGAGGUUUUCACCUGGAGCUACAGAGUCCGUUUCUACAUCAUCAGAAAGUAUUCCAAGAACUUCCACGUUGUGCUUAAAAAGAAACCAAAGUUGGAAGUUUUCUGACACAUGCACAUUUUAUAAGAUAUAAAAUUACCUUGAUGCUUAUUAAGAAGCUACAAAUCUAAAAGUCAAAAUAAAGAUAAAAUAUUUUAGCCAGAAAUAAACUUUUGAGGAAAAGAAAGGGGGUCAAUCUUGGCUUGUCAGACAAGCACUCUGCCGCCUGCUGCGGUUGCAGAUGUCACAAUUUGUUGUUUUUAAACAACACAUUCUAACAACUUCUAAGUAGAAUACAGAACAAACUUCAUUUUCAGAAUGAAACCAUUGUAAUGAUUAGUACUGUCAACCUGACAAGAUCUAGAAUCACUAAGAGGUAAAUGCCCAGGUGCACCUGUGAGGGUCAGUCCCUGGGCACGCUUGCACACAAUUCCCUUAAGCUAACUGAUGUGGGAAGAAUCCGCUUUACUGUGGCCGAGGUCAUUCUGAGCUGGGAGAAAGUGAGCGGAGCGCUAGUGUUUAUCCUCCUCUGUUCACAAAUGCAUUGUGAUAGAUCAGUGCCUUCGAACUUCUGUGGCUUUGACUUUCCUGCCUUGAUGGACUGUACCCUUUAACUAAGAAGAGCUGAAAUAAAGCCUUGGUCCUUUGAGUUGCUUCGCUCAGCUCCCCAAAACUAUUGAUUUUAAGCAUGAGUGUUUUACCCACAUGUGUGCCUGGUGCCUGAAAGGUCAGAAGUGGUAACAUCAGAUGCCCUGGAACUGGAGAGAUGUUUCACUGGGAGCCACUGUGUCACUGUUGGGAAAUGAACCCAGGUCGUCAGCAAGAGCAAGAAAGAGCUCCUUAACCACUAAACCAUCUCUCCAGCCUCAUUGCUUUGGUUUUAGAAAAUUACUUUCAUUUAUAUAUAGGUGUGUGCUCAUCUCUGUGUGAAGAGUGCCGUGUAUUGCAUGAAUCAAGUUCCCUUUAAGAGCUGAGUCACCUCUCCAGCCUCUUCCUUGAGUUGUUUCUCUCAGAGUAUUUUAUCAACCACAGGAAACUAAGACAAACAUCAAAUUUAAUAACUGGAUUUUUAACUCUCUUAAAUUUAAAUUUCAGAAUUCAAGAAUUUUUCCCCCACAGCAGGUCAAUCCUCAAUUAAGGAGGUAUUUACCUAGAAAGCAUUAAAAACAUCAAUUUGUUUCUUGGUAUAAUUUUAUAAUACAUCAAAUAAAAAUCAUCAAAUCUAGCUUUAAACCCAU